GCUCCAGUAGUGUAGCUGGUCAAUCACCUCGGCCUUUCGAGCCGAAGACUCGGGUUCAAAUCCCGACUGGAGCG
rnacentral:tRNA from 1 species